rnacentral:rRNA from 1 species
UACGGAGGAUGCGAGCGUUAUCCGGAUUUAUUGGGUUUAAAGGGUGCGUAGGCGGACUGUCAAGUCAGCGGUAAAAUUGGGAGGCUCAACCUCUUCCCGCCGUUGAAACUGGUGGUCUUGAGUGGAUGAGAAGUACGCGGAAUGCGUGGUGUAGCGGUGAAAUGCAUAGAUAUCACGCAGAACUCCGAUUGCGAAGGCAGCGUACCGGCAUCCAACUGACGCUGAGGCACGAAAGCAUGGGGAUCAAACAGG